CCCCGCGCCCUACGGGGCAGCAGCCGCGCUCCCAGGGCCGAGCGCUCGCUCCGGGCUGCGGCUCGGGCACACGGAGAGCGGGGGGCAGACCCGGGCCAGCGGCCUGUCCGCACACCGACAGCUGCCGCUGCCCCCUAAAACUCUAUUGAGGACGCCUAAGGGUAGUGCAGGGUCCUGCUGCCUUUCAUUCCGCACCAAAGGAGGGGCAAAGGCACCUAGGUGCAGCCUUUUUUGUAGGUGGAAAAAUACAUCACGCACAAAACCCCAAACAGCAACACUGAGUAGUACCGGUUCUUGUCAGACUCGGUUUUAUUUUUAGCGUUUUCAUACGACAGCCUUAAAACAUCUUUAAUAUCAGCUACAAAGUUUCCAGCAUUUUGCAGGAAGGGCCUGGUGCUUCCCCCACUUUCAGAAUUGCAUGGGAGAUGAUUUCUCUUUAGGAAGCUGGAGGUGGAGGGUUUAGAAUUAAAAAGUCACAUUCCAAUUUCAAGCAUUCCGUGAAGUGAAUAUUUUGCAAAGAAGACUUAGCACCAUUUUCUGGUGACAACCAAAGGCUGAAACACUGCCCUCCGCCCUUCUCUGUUAUGUCACAGCAUGUCUGAUGUGCAUUGCCCAAGAGAAACAGAACCAAAUCAAGAAGGUGAAAUCUGUGGGUUGCUUUGAAAUUUUUGAAAUUUAACUCCUUUGAAAAUUAGGACGUGUACCUAAAACCACUACUGAAAGCCAAAUGGAAACUGGUGGGACUUGAACACAUCCUGGAAUUGGAGAAUAGCCACUAUGAAUAACCCUAUUUUUCAAACCCCACAUUCUUCAGUUAUUCUGAGGAUUAUAAGCAUAGCAGGAAAAGGUAACAAGAAAAGUCUAAAUUAUGUUCCCUGUAUAUCAAAAUUUCAAAUAACGUUUCAAUUAAUAAACUUUUUAAAAUGCAACAAAGAAAAGGUGUAAGUCAAAUAAAAGAUUUCCCUAACAGGAAAAACAA